UACGAAGGGGCUAGCGUUGCUCGGAAUCACUGGGCGUAAAGGGUGCGUAGGCGGGUCUUUAAGUCAGGGGUGAAAUCCUGGAGCUCAACUCCAGAACUGCCUUUGAUACUAAAGAUCUUGAGUUCGGGAGAGGUGAGUGGAACUGCGAGUGUAGAGGUGAAAUUCGAUUAGAUAUUCGCAAGAACACCAGUGGCGAAGGCGGCUCACUGGCCCGAUACUGACGCUGAGGCACGAAAGCGUGGGGAGCAAACAGGG
rnacentral:rRNA from 1 species